GCGGAUGUGGUGGAACUGGUAUACACGCAUGCCUUAGGAGCAUGUGCCGUAAGGCAUGAGGGUUCGAGUCCCUCCAUCCGCA
rnacentral:tRNA from 1 species